GGUCUUGUGGUCUAGUGGUACGAUGCUUUCUUAGGGUGGAAGAGAUCCCGGGUUCAAUUCCCGGCAAGACCC